UGUUUUGGAUUCUAUUUUCAAUACACUAAAAUUAAUUCAUUUAUUUACUCUAUAGCAAUAUAAAAGGGGUCAUUAGUAUUCGUUUUUUAUUACAGUUACUUGCGUUUUACUCAAUACAGACAAUUUAGUAGCCUAUACCAAAAAAUUCAAAAUGAAAUACUUCAACAUCAUUUUUGUUUUGUGUUUUGUUAUGUGCAUCGUUUCCUUGUCGGUUGCCUCAGAUUCCACUCUGCAUGACGACGGUACUAAUGAUGAUAAAACUCAACAAGGUUCAGUACCAUUGAAUUCCGUCAACCUUGAUUCAGUUCCACUUUAAAAAUUUUCAAAAUAUAUGAUAAAACAUUAAUUCAACAAUAUUAUAAUAUUUUCAGUUAAAAAAUCAAUUUAUAUAAAUUUCAUAAUAAAAAUUGUUAUACAUUUUAUAAUGAUUUUGUUUCCAAAAUAAAAUUUCUCAUAACAGUUUA